rnacentral:rRNA from 1 species
AUUGAACGCUGGCGGAAUGCUUUACACGUGCAAGUCGAACGGUAGAGGGGGCAACCCCUCGAGAGUGGCGAACGGGUGAGUAAUAUAUCGGAGCGUGCCAAGUCGUGGGGGAUAAAGUAGCGAAAGUUACGCUAAUACCGCAUACGAUCUAAGGAUGAAAGCGUGGGACCGCAAGACCUUGUGCGAUUGGAGCGGCCGAUAUCAGAUUAGGUAGUUGGUGGGGUAAAGGCUAACCAAGCCACCAAUCUGUAGCUGGUCUGAGAGGACGACCAGCCACACUGGAACUGAGACACGGUCCAGACUCCUACGUGAGGCAGCAGUGGGGAAUUUUGGACAAUGGACGCAAGUCUGAUCCAGCCAUUCCGCGUGCAGGAUGAAGGCCCUCGGGUUGUAAACUGCUUUUGUACGGAACGAAAAGGUCUCUCUUAAUACGGGGGACUCAUGACGGUACCGUAAGAAUAAGCACCGGCUAACUACGUGCCAGCCGCCGCGGUAAAAC